rnacentral:lncRNA from 1 species
AAUCCAUGAUAAACAAACGCUACAUGCACCUCAAUGAAGAAAUUCUCAAGGAGAACCCCAACGUCUGUGCCUACAUGGCCCCAUCUCUUGAUGCCCGUCAAGACAUGGUGGUGGUUGAAGUACCAAAGCUCGGCAAGGAAGCUGCUGUCAAGGCCAUCAAAGAAUGGGGCCAGCCCAAAUCCAAGAUCACCCACCUUGUCUUCUGCACCACCUCCGGUGUUGACAUGCCCGGUGCUGACUAUCAACUCACCAAGCUGCUCGGCCUCAAACCCUCCGUCAAGAGGCUGAUGAUGUACCAACAGGGCUGCUUUGCUGGAGGCACCGUCCUCCGCCUUGCCAAGGAUCUUGCCGAGAACAACGCCGGCGCCCGUGUUUUGGUCGUCUGCUCUGAAAUCACCGCCGUCACUUUCCGAGGCCCCUCUGACACCCACCUGGAUUCUCUCGUGGGUCAGGCGCUUUUCGGUGAUGGUGCAGCUGCCAUUAUCAUUGGUGCAGACCCAGAUACCAAAAUCGAACGCCCACUCUUCGAACUCGUCUCUGCAGCUCAGACUAUUCUCCCCGACUCCGAGGGUGCAAUCGAUGGACACCUGCGCGAAGUGGGUCUCACGUUCCAUUUACUGAAAGACGUCCCAGGGUUGAUUUCCAAGAACAUAGAGAAGAGCUUGGUGGAAGCCUUUAAGCCGAUCGGCAUCAGCGACUGGAACUCCUUGUUCUGGAUCGCUCACCCCGGUGGCCCAGCAAUUUUAGAUCAGGUUGAGUUAAAACUGGGUCUGAAGGAAGAGAAACUGAGAGCAACUCGACACGUUCUGAGCGAGUAUGGGAACAUGUCUAGUGCAUGCGUGCUGUUUAUCCUGGACGAAAUGAGGAAAAAGUCGAUCGAAGAAGGAAAGGGCACCACAGGGGAAGGCCUGGAAUGGGGCGUUCUGUUUGGAUUUGGACCAGGUCUCACCGUUGAAACCGUUGUGUUGCACAGCCUUGCUACACAAUCGACUCACUGAGUCACUCGUCCCUAUAAUACUGAAGGGAAGAUGGGAAUGGCUGCUGGCUGGGGACUGGUGAGGACUGCAUGUCAUCAUGUGCCAACCUACGCAGCUACCCUUCCUUCCUUUGUUAUGUUUUGCUUUAUUUUUAUGUUCUUUUGUGUCCCUGUGCCUUCUCUCCUUUCACACUUAAGUAAAAAUUUCUCUUUAAUUAUUUUCUUAUUUAAUAAGAGCUUGUUUAAUAAUUAAUAAUAGAUUUGAAUUGUUUUAGGUUGUUUUCAUUUUUUUUUUACUAUUUUAAAAAAUAGUUAAAUAAAAUGGUUGCAAAGAACCACCACCAAUAAAAAUUAUUUUUUUAAAAAUAUUUAAAAACGUAAAAACAAGUUGAUAACAUUUCAAUUUUUCAAAACAAAUUUUUAUUUUGGAAAACAUUUUAUUUUUUAUUUUUGAAAAUAAGAAAUAAAAAAUGGUUUUUGAUUGUUAAACAUGUCUUCAUAAUUUUUUAUUCUAAAGAACAUAUAUAAAACUAUUUUACUAAACACUUGCCAAACAAAUUCUUAAAGAAUUGUUUUCAAAAACUAUUUUCAAUUACCAUUUUUUGAUAUUUAUUUACAAAAACAUCACCAAAAGAUGUAAAAAAAAAAGAUUCUUUGACCACUUUUUCUUUAAUUUUUUCAUGUAAAAAUAACCCUUUUUGGGUGAAAAAUUAAGACAAUUAAUUGAUUAGGUAAUGAUUUAUUGAAUUAGUUAACAGAUACAAUCUUCUUGUCCUCAUUACUCAGGAGUGGAGAGACGCAUGUUUCUUCAUUAAUACCCAAAAUUGAAUUCUUCCCCUUCUUAUGUUGAUGGUUGGGAAGAGGUAACAUGGUUGUGUAGGGUUUGUUUGGUUUGAAAAAAAUUGAAGGUAGAUGUGAGGGGAAGAGAAAGAUAAGAGAGAGAACCAAGAAAAAAUAAAAAAUAAAAAACAUGAAUCCAACCAAAUAUAUUUUUCAUAGAUUUAAGUCGAGUAUAAAUAGGUUUGGAUCAAAUUCAUAUUGAUUUACAUAACCCGUUUGAUACAUAAGAUAAUUUUUGGGUUAACUUACAUAGCACGAAUUUGAUGCAAAUGGAUUCAUUUAAUGAUCCCGUUUAUUAGCCUAUUAUAUCUUUAAACUAUGUAACUUAUAUUUGAUUCAUUUUAAAUUUAUUUUUAAAUAAAUAAAUCAAUCAUAAAUAUGUUUAAUUGAAAAAUCAAGUAUAUUGACAUAUAUAAGACUUAACUCAACUUGAUUAUGAAAUAAGAGGAUUUGAUUAUUAAAUGAAUUAAAUAAUUACACGAUAUGUUAUUUAUUUAAUAAUUAUAUAGUAUUUAAGUUUAUGUUUUUGACAUAAUUAUCAUUUAUGUUAAGUUUGAGUUAGACCUAUCUAACAGAUAGCUAAGUUUUGACAUGACAUGAACACGAUCCACCAAUGCAAAUCGCCUCUACUAUGAUAUUCAACUCCUUUGCUCCAAAAUGGCAUUCCAUACUUGUUGAUUUGUCAAUAAUUUCACACAACGAUUUCUAAAGACCAUUGUAUGGUCACGUAGCCUUUUAACUUUUGAAUAGAUGUGAAUUAAUUUAUAGUCGUCAUCGGAUUUUUUGUGGCAUUCUAUGCUUGAGGUAUCUUUAGUUCAUAUGGUCCCAAGGCGUGCACGAAGUUUGGAACUCCUAUUCCUCCUUCUCUUGAAAACUACGUCAAUUAAUUCCACCCACCAUUUCCAUCUUCUUCUAAUUGUCAUGUCAUGAUUGAUAUGAGAAAAAGGUGAUCACAAUAAAUGUAUUUAUUUAUUUAUUUUUGGGUGGACAAAUUAUUCUUUUAAGGUAGGGAGGAUGGAAAAUAAUAACUAAAACCCACGAGUGAUGACCAUUUUUCAUUUUUUUUUUUUUGAAAAAAUUGUUUUUAAAACUUGAAAUGUUUUGAAGGUGGGAAUGGUGUUGUUUGAUGGUCAAGUGGGAUUGAAUGUGAAAGAUGAAGAAGUGGUUAGUAGGAUUGAAUGUGAGAGGAGAAAAGUUGACUACCUGCCUAGUGUUGAAAACAACCCAUAACUAAAGUUUGUACACCAAUUAAUAUAGGGGGAUUUUGUUUGGUAGUGUAAGAGUAGGUUUGGUAGUGUUUUCAUUUGAAAUGUUUUUUUUUUUUUUUUUAAGUAUUUUUAGGAAAAUUAUUUUAAACAUGGCUUUUAAAAAAACGUUAUAAAUGAUUUUUUAAAAUUUUAAAAAUAUUUUUUAAAUUUUAUUCAACAACUAGGUUCUAUCUGAAAACUAUUUUUUAGAAUAAUUUUUUGUUUUUCAUAAUAAAAAACACAAAAAUAUAAUAAUAAAAACCUGUUUUCUAUUUUAUGUAUUUCAGAAUAGAAAACAUAAUAUUUUUUGAGAUUUUUUUAAAAUUAUUUUUUAUUAUUUUCAAUUUUUUUUUAACAAUUAUUUUUAAAAAUAAUUAUAUAAACAUGUAGAUUAUAGAUAUAAAAAAUAUUUUAAAAAUAUAUAUAAAAAUAUUAAAAAUAAAUUAAUAACAUCUUAAGUUUAUGAAUAAAUUUUUUUUUUUAUAAAAAUUAACAAAUAAUUUUCAAAAACUAUUUUUUAUAAUUAUUUUAGAAAAUAAUUACCAAAGAUAGCUUUUUUUUUUUUCUUUUCUAAAAAAGAAUUUUUAGGGUAAAAACAAUUCUUAGAAUCGGUACUAAACGGAAUCUUUUGUCAUAUCAUGAUUAACUAUGGGUGUUUUCCCACCUAAAAAUAAUUUGUUGUUCCAAGAUGACCAUCUUGGUCAAUACCUAAUAGUAUCUCCAAUCAACUUUACAUAAACUCUCUCAUAGGGAGGACAUGGAAGUGAUUAAUUUAAUUAAGGGAGCCUUAAUUUGGUAGAUUAAUUUAAUGUUUUAAUAUGAUUUAAUAAUUAAGUUCAAUAUGUUUGAUAAAGUAAUUUAAUAUCAUAAUCUAAAGCCAAAAUAAUUAAUUUACCUCCAUGGUUCAUUUUUUAAUAAUUAAUUUACAUUAAAUAUAAAUAGAUUUAUUAUUUAAGAUUAAUAAAAGUAAGUAUUAGUUCAACUCAAUGUGGAUAGAUAGUAGUUAAAUUAGAAUAGAUUUUAAAUUAAUUUUGUAAAACAACUUAACACUUUAAGUAAAAUUAAGGAAUAAGUUUUAAGUAAUCCACUUAAGAAUAAUUUAACUGAAAGUUGAUUAAUUAAGUAAUAAGUAUUAAAUUUUAUCAAAACAUCCACUAACUGAUUUUUUUUCAACAAAUUUGAUAUUUUUUAUUUUUAAAAUUAGAAAAUUAUAGUAAUUUUUAUAUAAAAUGUAAGAACUCUAUAAUGCAAAGCUCGAAAAAGUGUAUUUUCAAAUGCUCAAAUGCAAAAAACCAGUUAUAGGAACCCAAGUUUUUAAAAUCCCGUUAUAGUAUCGUUGUCUAUUAGUGCUAUCUUUAAUGAUCUUAGAUAUUAUAUUCGAUUGAUAAGCGUAUCAAACUUGAACUAUUUUUAGAGGGUUUCUAUUUUAUAAUUAUUUUUAUAUGAAUUAAAAAAAAAUAUGAAUUUAUUUCAUUUUGUUAAUAUCUUAAUUUUUAAAAUAAUUUUCAUUUUUUAAGAUAAGUCUUGAAUAAUUCUUAUAUUUUAUAUAAUAUUUUAAAAAAUAAAAGGUAAGAAAUUAUUACAUUUUAUAUAAUAAUGAUUAUAUUUUUAUUUCUAAAAAUAAAAUGAAAACAAGAAAUAUAUCAAAUUAAGCAUCCACAUUUAAUUCCACAUCUAGUACAAGGGCAGGUGGAGGUGAGCAGUGAGAAGCAAAGGAGGCCAUUAACACAGCCAGCCUCCACCGGCCCAGAGCAUUCCCUUGUCCUAUUCGCUCCCAUGGACACUCCCCACCCAAUCCCUUUCUUCUGUUUUGCAGUUUUUGCCUUGCUUUUAAAAACAGUUUUUUCAUUUUUCAAAAUAAGAAAACACAUUUCAUGAGAAAUUUAAAAACAAUUUGUUUUCUUAAAAUUAAAAAAUGAAGAAUAACUAUUUUUGAAAAUUGCUUUGAAAAAUAGUUUUUGAGAACUGUUUUUGAAAACUGUUAUAUGAUGUUUUGUAAAAUAAAAGUCUAUUUAAGAAUUUGAAAUAUUUUUAACUUAUUUUUAAAUAUAUUUUAAAAAUAAUUUAUAUAUCUAGUGCCUUAUUUUUAAUUAUUCUACAUGCUUGCAUAAUUAUUUUCUAAAACAAUCUUAAAAAACAAGUGAAAAAAUAGAAAAUAACUAAAAAAUAUUUUUUAAAAAUACUAUAUUUUAUAUUCUUAAGAACAUAAAAUAUAAAAAAAAAUUUGAUUACCAAACGUGUUUUUUUGUUUUGGAAAAUAGGAAACCGUUCUUGAAAACAGUUACCAAAUAUGUUCAAAAGUGUUUUGAGAAAACAUCUUCUAGUUUUUAUUUAUUUAUUUAUUGUUUUCACUUGUGUUUUUAAAGGUUGCUUUAAAAAAAAUAAUUAUACAAAUAAGAAAAAUAAUUAAAAAUAAAGUAUUAUAGAUAAAAGUUAUUUUAAAAACAUAUUUAAAAAAUAUAUAAAAAAAUAGACCAAAAACAUUUUAUGUUUCUAAACAUACUUUUAUCCACCUGUUUUCAAAACCGUUUUUCAUAAAUGCUUUAAAAAUGAAUUUUCAAAUAAAUCCUAAAUAUCUCAAAUCCCAUACACUUAUACAUGAUAUAAAAAGUGAAAUUCAAAAAAUACUUUAUAAAGAAUAACAAAAACAUUUCAAAUAUAUUUUCAAAACAACUUAUUUUUAUCAUAAACUUUUAGAAAUUUAUCUAAAGCUUUAGUUCUACAAAUCAAGAUAUUCUUUGUAUAAUAUGCUUUUUAAUAUGUUGGCAAAUUUUAUUAAAGAAAAGAAUUUGAGUAUAUUUCAUUAAAAUGCAUAUAAAUGAAAUUUGGAGUAUGAAGUUUGCUCGAAAUUUGGUAAGCUUAUUAUGAGUGACAUUCGUGUUAGUAGGUCGCGUUCGUAUUGAAUCAAAGUCUAGAUAUUUUACUAUAUAGGUUAAUCCAAACCCGACAUGAAUAAUAAUGUUAAAAAUAUAAACUCAAAUACUACUUAAUUAUUAAACAAGUAAUAUAAUCCAUUAAAGUCAUUUAAUAAUUAAUUUUUUCUAUUUAAUAAUUAAGUUAAGUUAGUUUUUGGAUUAAUCUAUAUGAUUAAUGAUAUGUUUAUGAUUCAAUUGACUUAUUUAUUUAAAAAUAAAUUUAAAAUGAAUUAAAUAGUUAAAAAAUUUUAAUUAGAUUAAUAAGCACAAUGAUUAAAUUUGUCAAUUUGAAUGAAAUUCAUGUUACAUAGGUUGACCUAAAAACUAACUGUUUAUUAAAUGAGUUAUGCAAGUAGACACAAAUUUGACUCAAAUACAAUUAUACUUAAUUCAAACCCAUCGAAAAAUGUGUUGAAUUCGAGUUAAGUUAACGAAUCAUAUCAAAUUUUGUUACUCCUAGACCUCACCAUGAUCACUCAUAAAAUUUAAAAUACUUUAAAUUUAAAAGAGAAAAACCUAAGAUCCAAUAUGGUAACACCUAAAGAGGUUGAAUAGGUGUUUUUUUUUAAAGAUUUUAAUACAAGAGUUGAAAUAUUCAAUUAAUUCUUUUAGAAUAAUAAUAAAAAAAAAACAAUCAACCCUGGGGAAAUAAAAUAUUUUAGAUGGAAAACCCCCACAUAAAGUAUGGUGAUAAAAAAUCAUGGGUUAUGAAAUUUCGAAUGAACAAUUUACUAUAUGAAAUUAUAAUACAUAAAAUUACCUGAUAGACGUUUCCUCAAGAUUUACUCUUUAGAACUUAUGCUACGAUCCACGUUCGUGACAUAACAUCUUGAGUACUUUAGUGGAUUUUGUCUUAGCUCCCAAGGGGAUAUAGGUCUUCUUCACCAACUUAGAAUUAGUUCAAUUCUUCUUUGAGAGAUUUUAAAAAUGGGAAAGUUAGGGUCUUUUUUUUUUAUUAUUUUAUUUUAAUGAGAGCAUCAAACUCUAAAAUGAAUUUAAGUAGGGUAUACAUAGGCUAUGUCCAAAGACCUUAGAGGAUCAAAAACGAAAUUUUCCUAAAAAGAUAAAUUCUCAAUUUUCCAAAAUGCGGUCUAUUAGAAACUAACAAAGUCAGGAACAAGUGUUCAAAUGGACUAAACCACUACUUGAUUAUUUUGAGUGCUUUUAGAUAGCCACUUGAGCAUUGAUUUCACUGCUUGAGUACUUUGGCCAACACUUGAGUACUACAAAUUUUCAAAAAAGAACUUAAAAUUUUUUACCCUAGUUUUAAAAUUUUGAUCCAACCCUUACACUUUCAAAACUCAUUUGCUUUUAUUCAAACUUUUUUAGAAUUACCUGUGACAUUUUGAUUGGUCAAUAAACAACCUCAAAUUUUCAAUAAAGAGUAAAUCAUUAUCUAAAACGAUCUCAUACCAAAAUAAAAAGAACAAAUUUGUCAAUACACAAAACACAACACAAUUUAUGACGUAAUAAAAAAAUUCAUUUUGAAUAAAUAAUUUACACAAUAUAGAUAAAUUAUAUUAUUUUAUAUUAAGAUAAAGUAUAUACAUAAUUUUUUUUUUUUACUUUUAAGCUUCUCGUUGGAUGGAGCUUACGUGAUACCUUGUAGAAGGGGUUUCGCUGUCGAAUUAAAAUAAAAUAUUAUCUUUAAAUGAGAAAUAAAAUCCUGUGUGACUCCUUAUUUAGAAAAGACAUAUUUGCAAAACAGAAUCUAGAGGUCAUGUUACCUAUUGAGAAGGUAUGAUGGUGAGCUGUAACACUCCUCUAAGCCCAUAUAUGUGACAAUUAAUUAAUUAAUUAUGAAUACCAAGAAAAUAAUAAUGCAAAUGAGUAUGUACAAGUUAUAGUAAAAAUCAAUAUAUACAAAAAUAAUGAUGAAAUCUAAUUACAAGAAUGCACAAAAUAAAUAACAAGAGAAUUGUGUAAAAUGAUUUAUUGAACUAAAUAAAAAAAAGAUAUUAAAAAAAAUUAGUUUUCAAUAAAUUUUAAAGGAUUUUAUUAAAAAUGAUUUUGAAUUAAUGAUUUCAAUUUAUUUAUUUACAAAAAAUAGUGAAUUUAUUUUCUCAAUUUUAUUUGUAUUCAAUUUUCAUAAAAGUUAUUUACAGUUAUUGUAUCAAAAUUUUUUUUAUACAAAAUUUUAAUUUUGACACAAAAAUUAUUUUUACUUGCUUUUACUAGAAAAAAAAUGGAUUUUUACAAUUUUUUUUAAAAAAGUAUUUCAAUUUAUUUUAAUUUAAGAAAAGUGACUUAUACAAAUUAUUAAAAAAAUAUAACUUUAUUUUCAAACGAAUUUUUAAUUAAAAAGAAAAAAUUUAAAUCCUCUAUUUCUAAAAAUUACUUUUAAUCCCAUUUUAAUUAAUAAAAUAGAAUUUAUUUAUAAAAAAAAAAUUUUUUGGACAAUUUUAUUAAAAAAAAAUUUUGGGACAACUUUAUUUACAAAAUAAUUUUUGGAUAAUUUUAUUAAAAGCAAUUUUUGGACAAUUAUUAUUAAAUUUUUUUUCAAAUUAUAUUAAAAACAUUUUUUUUUUGGAUUUUUCUAAAAGCAUUUUUCUGAACUACUUUAUUAAAACAUAUUUAUUGAAUUAUUCCUCUUAUUCAAAUAAAAUUUAUGGUUUGUUCGAUAUUCAAUUCUAUACAUAACAAGUAAAUAUACACAAACAAAUAUUUAGAGAAACCAAUAGAAAUAAAACUAAAUAUAAGUGAGAAAUCAAAUAUGUACCCAAAUAAGCUUAUAACAAGUUCAAUGUGUUUCUAUGAUUUUUCAAGUCUCACUUUCUUCCAUGAAAUUCCGUACUCCACGUGUUAUAAAUUCGUACUUAGCCAACAUAAUUGCAAAAUGGGUCUAUACAAAAACAAAAAUAGCCUAAAUAUAAAUAUCUAGAAAUGUAUAAAAUUUGCAAUAAAUAUUCAAAUCCAAAUUCAAAUUUCAAAUUAGUUAAACAAAUUUCACCAAUUAAAAAUGGACCCAAAUUAGCAAAUAUAACCCAACAAAAAUAUCUCACAUGUUAUAGACCCUAAUAUAGAGUUUUCAAAUUAAUAGCCAAAGUAUAAGCUCAAUUAAUUAAACUCAAAACAUGAUAAAUUAAAAUAAAUCAUAUUAAAACUAAAUUUAAUAUCUCAUAAUCCAAACCUAAUUUAAUAUGCAAACUCACAUUCAAAAUAUACCACAAUAUUAUAUUAUAUCUAAAUUAAAUAUUUCAAAUGAGUAUAACCAUAUAAAUUAUCAACUAAUCUAACCCAAAUUAACAAAUUUCAAAUUAAUUCUCCAAUAACAAAUUAACCCAAAUUUCAUAUUAAUUAACAAAACUUAAAUUUUAUAUUAAUUCAAUAAUUCAAAUAUCACAAAUAAUAAUCACUAUUAAAAUCAAAUCAAGAAUAAUAAUAACAAUAGGAAAAAAAGAAAAAAAAAGAAAAAUGGGGACGUGAGGGUGGUCUCGUGAGUGGCAGUGUGUGGGUAGGAAGAGGAAAAAUGGAAAAGGAGACUAAAUGGGGGCCGACCGUGUGUGGGUGUUGGGAGUCUGUGGGAAGAGAGAGCCAUUAGAGAAGAAGCAAAAAAAAAAAAAAAAAAAAAAAAAAAACAAGAGAAAAAUGGGUGCCGAAUCGAGAAUGAGGGGAGAAGAAAUAAAAAAGAAAAAAAUUCUUAAAAUAAAGAAAGAGAGAAGAUAUGGGUAUGGCUUGGACGUGGGAGGUAAGCGGGGAUAGGUGGAUGGAUGAGAGAAGAAAGAGAAUAUAUAUAUAUAUAAUAUAAUAUAAUAAUAAAAAUAAUAAUAAAUAAAAAUAGUAAUAAAACACUUUAUAAAAUAAUAAAAAUUAAGAAUUAAAGAGUGAGUGAGUAAAAAAUAUCAUAUAUAAUUAAAAUUUAAAAUUUAAGGAUAAAAUUGAACUCAAAAUUAAUGUAAAAAUAAAAUUGAAACAAAUUUUAGGAUCAACAGAAACCCAUCAUGUUUUUUUUUUUUUCAACUUUCUUUCUAAUUGUCUUUGGAAGACCCACAUGCUUUUAAUUUAGUAUCCUUUCUUAGUUGUUGAUGCUCUAUGAAAACCUCCUCUUAUUUCAUAGUGUCUUAUUUCACUUUCUUAGAUGACGUUGAUCUCUUGAUAACCCCUCAUUUUCACUUUCAUUGCCAUCAUUCACAGGAGAAGAAAAGAAAAAAGAAAAAAGAUACACAUGAAAACUCAUUCUCCUUCUUGUUCUUACUCAUGGUACAUUGACUUGAAUUGCACUGACAAUAAGUUUCAUUUAAAAAAUUUAAUUAAAGUCAAAUUUUCAUUAAAAAUAUUCUCUUAAAUUAGUUAAGUUUCAUUUAUUAAAAAUAUAAACAUAUGAGCCAAGAAGAUUCUAAACUAUACUAUAAUUACAUUUUAUUUACAUAGAGCUUAACUAGGGUUAAGUUCGUAUUUAGAGUUUUUAAUUAAUUAAUAUAUAUUUUAAAAAAAACUAGGGUUAAGACCCAGUCCAUUAAAUUUAAGGGAGAAAAAUGGAAAGCAAAGUACAGUAUCCUUAGGACUCGCAAUGUACAAAAGAACAAGAAAGAAGGAAAAAGAGAUAUUGUUCUUUCCAGUGAAAUUAACUUAAUUACUUCUACUCGGUGAACUAUCUUGAGUAACAGUUUGUAUUAUGGUUAAAUUUCAUUUACAAAAAGUUAACUAAGGUGAAUUUCUUAUUUAAGAUUUUAAUUCAAAAUAAUAUUGGAUUCAUUUAUAAAAAAAUUAAUUCUAUUUAAGUUCUUGACCAUAAUAUUUACUUAAACUUAAUUAUCAUUAAGUUUUAUAUACAAAGAACUUAACACUUCUUAACUUAUCGAUCUCAUGUGCAUCAGCACACACAUAUAGAAAAAAAAAGAAAAAAAGCAACUAGAAGUUAACAAAGCGAAAAUGAUAGCAUGUUAAAGUCAUCAUAACCAAAUAUUUUGAUAUCUAUCAAUAUUGACAUUGACAGGCUUCAAACUUCUCAAAGGGAACUAAGCUUCCUAGAGUAACAAUUUACUAAUCUACUCUUUGGUUAUGAUCUAAUUGGUUUCAUGGAUGGAACCACACCAUGUCCACCAAACACCAUCACAAACCCAAUGGAACAACUUCCAUAUCCGGACUCUAUUUGAAUUGCAAACUUUGGAAAUGACAUGACUAUUCUCCAUGCCAUUCUUGUUUCAAUAUUUGGCUUUGUGGCUCCCCUAAUUGCCUUUACAACAGUGUUGAGUGACAUAUGCAUCAAAUUAGGGAAAACAUAUGCCAACAAAUCCUAUAAUAGAAUGCUCAGGCUCAAUGAUGAUGGAGUCAAUAAUUUCAUUCGGGGCAACUUUUAAUGCAUGUAUGGACUUUAGCCUAAUGAUCAAGAUUUGUCAUCGGUGCAUUAUCAGUCUUGUUUUCAAAUCCUCAUAUUGCAAGAACUAGAUUUGGUAGGUGCCCCCCAAGCCUUACUUGGCUCCUCAAGUGCUCAGGCUACAAGAAACACUAACAAACACCAUAAAAUUAAAUAAAUAAAUAAAUCAAAAGCUUAAGACAAUCAAAGCUACCCCUUGAAAUUAAUAAUAAUAAUAAUAAUAAUAAUAAUAAUAAUGACAAUCAAAAACUUUCAUGGCAAUCAGAAUAACCAAGGCAAUGGAAUUUUCUAAGGCGGUUUGAACUUUAAUAGUGGCUUUCCAAUUAUGGGAAUAAUCUCAAAUUGGUCAUAGUGCCAAAUACUUUCACGACAAUCAAAAUAAGCAAGGCAAUUGAAAUUUUCAAGGUAAUUUAAACUUCAAUCAUAACUUUUUGAUUAUGAGAUUAAUCUCAAAUUGGUCAUAGUGUCAAAUACUCUCAUGGCAAUAAAAAAUCCCAAUAAGUGAGUUCCUAGGAUGAUGAGGUUUACUUUCUACCGUAGGAUGUUUUCCAUUUCAAAGUAUAGACUCUAAGAAAAAGGGGGUUUACUUUGGAUUGUAGGAUGUUUUCCAUGUCAAAGUACUCUAAGAAAAAGAGGCAUUUAUUCUAUGAAUAGGACAAAGGCAUACAUACAAACAUGAUAAUUGGUCUGGACCACCCAUAAAGUCUCCAAUCAACUAUUGACAAACCCACGAUGUGGCUAAUUAACCUUACUGUGGCGCCACAUUUAAUUCCUCAUCUAACACCGCUGGGACUGGCCGGUGGCAAGUCACGUACACGUACUGUGCGGCCAUUAAAACAAUCUACCACCGAGCACCUUACCUUCCCUUUCAAUGCCUAGCCAUAUUCUUAUGUACUUUUAGGCCAUACGUCACACCAAUUCACAAUGAAUCAUUAACGCUAUCUUUAUUCCCCAAAAGUACACAAUAAAAAAUUCAUAUUUGAUUUUACUAUAAAAAAGAUUGGAAGAAAAUCAAAUAUAACUUGUUAAAAAUUUAUAUAUUUUAAAAUUAUUUAAUUAAAUAAAAUAAAUUUAAAGAAAUGUAUAAAAAUAAGUUAGUUGAGUUUUUUUUUUUUCAUUCCAAUUUUCUUAUUUGCUUCACAUUUUUUUUUUCAAAUUAGUAUUAUAAUUAAUAAAAUGAUAGGACAUAGGACAUAAAUUAAACCCUUCAAUUUAAAAAAAAAAUGGAGAUAAUUAAUCUUGAAAUACUAGCCUCACAUAGGCUGUCACAUUGUUGUACCUUGUAUGGUAAGCUACAAAGACCAAAACAAUCACUUCAUAGCAUUAAACUUUCUGCAUUGAGAUGGAAAUCCUUUUCAGAAAAGAUAUUUUCAGAAUUUUUUUUUUCUUUUCUAGUUUAAUCUAAUUAAAAAUCACCUUUUUAAAUAUGCACACUUCCAAUUUCUAGUCAAGUUUUAAUGAAAAAAGAAAAAUUAUCACCCAUGCAUAAGGGCCUGUUUGUUGCGGAUGUGAAAUUAGAAGUUAUUUGUCUUGUCAAAUAAAGUGAAAGAAACAGCAUCAUCUAACAGUCCCAAAGUUCUGGGUACCUAAUUUUCAGCGAAAAGGGGUUGUUAAUUAAUAGGAAAAAAAUGUCACCAUGGGACUGGGAGAUUCAGAGUCAAAGAAUAUUAAAAGUAAUCUCAAGGCAAAAACCUUGGAGUAGAAACGUGGAAGCAUAUCUACCGUUUUUUACAUGGCCUAACCCCAAGCUCACGUGGUCAGCUACCUGCCCUACUGUCCAACCUACCAAUUCUGUCGUAUAAAAAUUCACCCAACUCCUCAGUCUUGGCAUCGGCAUUCUCUCUUGGUCUCCUGCAAAAUUGAGGUAGAAGCCAGUGAAGCAGGUAGCCAACAAUGGUGUCAGUUGCGGAAAUUAGAAAGGCCCAGAGAGCUGAGGGUCCCGCCACGGUUCUGGCUAUUGGCACGGCCACUCCGGCCAACUGCGUCUACCAGGCAGACUACCCGGAUUACUACUUCCGGAUCACCAACAGUGAGCACAUGACCGAGUUGAAGGAGAAGUUCAAGCGCAUGUGUACGUGCCUUAUUAAUGGAUUAAAUCUGUAAUCCUUGUUUGUUUGUUUUUUUGGUAGGAAUGGUAUUGUGCAUGGAGCCAAUUUCAGUGCAUGGGAAAUAGGCGAGUAUCUGAUACUGAUGAUGGUUAUUUGAUACUAUUUUACUGGUUUUUACAGGUGAAAAAUCCAUGAUAAACAAACGCUACAUGCACCUCACUGAAGAAAUUCUCAAGGAGAACCCCAACGUCUGUGCCUACAUGGCCCCAUCUCUUGAUGCCCGUCAAGACAUGGUGGUGGUUGAAGUACCAAAGCUUGGCAAGGAAGCUGCUGCCAAGGCCAUCAAAGAAUGGGGCCAGCCCAAAUCCAAGAUCACCCACCUUGUCUUCUGCACCACCUCCGGUGUUGACAUGCCCGGUGCUGACUAUCAACUCACCAAGCUGCUAGGCCUCAAACCCUCCGUCAAGAGGCUGAUGAUGUACCAACAGGGCUGCUUUGCCGGUGGCACCGUCCUCCGCCUUGCCAAGGAUCUCGCCGAGAACAACGCCGGCUCUCGUGUUCUGGUCGUCUGCUCUGAAAUCACAGCUGUCACUUUCCGAGGCCCGUCUGACACCCACUUGGACUCCCUCGUGGGUCAGGCACUUUUCGGUGAUGGUGCAGCUGCCGUUAUCAUUGGCGCAGACCCGGAUACCAAAAUUGAACGCCCACUGUUCGAGCUCGUCUCCGCGGCUCAGACCAUCCUCCCUGACUCCGAAGGAGCAAUCGACGGACACUUGCGUGAAGUGGGCCUCAC